rnacentral:lncRNA from 1 species
CAACCUCGCAUUUCCCCGUUUCUAAGCCUCAUCCUUAUAUCGUUGAUAUGUCAAGUCAAUGCGCUAUUAUUGCCCAUAAAUAGCACACAAAGACUCGAAAAAGGGAGUAUUUUAAUCUUUUAAUUGUAGGAAUGAGCCGCUGAGACAUCAAGUACUUUUAAAUUACCAUUUUAUAUAUUUUGAAUAGAACAAUAACAUUAUUAUACUUUAUCAUAUACAGUGAAAACUUUUUUAAGAGACCACUUAAGAAGAGCAUAAAAGUGGUCUCUUAAGACAGGCGGUCUUUUAAUAAAGGUUUAAUUUAUAUAAAUGAGAUGUACUACAGCUACAGAGGGAUCUAAAUUUGGUGGUCUUUUAGCACAGUUUUUUUUCUUAAUAGUUUCAAAAUAUACAAAUUAUCCGCAAUUAUACAACACAGGAAAGUUUACAACUGAGCAAUGUCUUCUACUUGAGGUUACUCUUGAACCACUUGAAUAUCCAUUUUGUUAUUUUUUAUAGACUUUCUUUUGGGAAUUUAUCUUGAAAUUCGGUAAUUUUGUUGUACUUUUUUCUU